AUGAACUUUUUUUUUUCUUUUGUUUUAGGACGUGUAGAUGUCUGUUUUACCAGGACAAAAGGAAUACUGCCUAUUCACAUUAUCUCCAAUAUAUUCAGAUUUCCUGUUUGCUUCCAGUCAUCCUCUAGCAUUGUGGAGAUUUCUGCAAAAAGAAGAGUGUCUUGAAAUGGCAGUCUCUGAUGAGAGUUUUCAAUAGUUCUUCAAGUGACACAAAGUGCUCCUAUGACAACCUUAGAAACUCCAACCCAUGCAGUUGUUCCUACAUAAGGAAUUUCCUUCUGUUGUGGUUUAACCUGGCGGGCAGGUAAGCACCACACAGCUGCUCACUCCCCUACCAGUGGGAGAAGGAGAGAAUCAGGAAAAAAAAAAAAAAGGGUAAAAACUUGUGGGUUGAGAUAAAUACAGUUUAAUAGAUAAGACACAAAAAGAAGGGAAAUAAUAAUAAUAAUGAUAAAAGAAUAUACAAAGCAAGUGAUGCACAAGGCAGUUGCUCACCACCUGCUGACCAAUGUCCAACCCCUAUCUUGAGCAGUGUCCUCCCCAGUUUUAUUGUUCAGAAUGACACCAUGCAGUAUGGAAUAUCUGUUUGGUCAGUUUAGGUCAGCUGUCCAGGCUCUGUCCCUUCCCAUCUCUUGGUGCACCUCCAUCCUCCUUGUUGGCAGGGCGGUGCGAGAAGUUGUAAAGUCCUUGGCUCUGUGUAAGAACUAGUCUGCAACAAUUUAAACAUCAGUCUGUUAUCAGCAUUUUCUCAUCCUAAAUCCAAAACACAGUACCAUGUCAGCUACUAUGUAGAAAAUUAACUCUAUCCCAGCUGAAAUCAGGACACCUUCACAAAGUUUACCCAUAGCUGAAGGAUCAAAGUAGUUCUUCAAGAUUGUUAGAAAAAGGAAAGAAGUUUCAGGAGAGACUGCAAGAGUGCAAAGCAAUGCCUUCCUCAUUUUUUUUUCCUUACUGAAUGCUCAGUGGAGGAAGAGGGGAUAACUUUUGCUAUGUUUUGAAAACCACUGAUGUUAAUGUAGUAUAAAGGUUUAAUACUGCAAGUUCUUCAGGUGAUGUUUUUGCCUCAUCCAUGUCACUCCCACUAGUUUAAAGUGAGACAGAUUUCCAGUCCCCUACGUAUAGCCUAACAUCUCUUAAUGCUUGAAUGAUAUGGAUUGUAACAUCUUAUGGGAAGGGGCUGUGGUCUUUGUUCAGUGCUCAGUUUGGGACUCCUUAAGGAUUUCAAGAGGUACUAUAAUAAAUUAAAAAUGUGGUAUUUCA
rnacentral:lncRNA from 1 species